rnacentral:rRNA from 1 species
CCUACGGGAGGCUGCAGUGGGGAAUAUUGCACAAUGGGGGAAACCCUGAUGCAGCAACGCCGCGUGAAGGAAGACGGUUUUCGGAUUGUAAACUUCUGUUCUUAGUGAAGAAUAAUGACGGUAGCUAAGGAGCAAGCCACGGCUAACUACGUGCCAGCAGCCGCGGUAAUACGUAGGUGGCAAGCGUUGUCCGGAUUUACUGGGUGUAAAGGGCGUGUAGCCGGGCUGACAAGUCAGAUGUGAAAUCCGGGGGCUCAACCCCCGAACUGCAUUUGAAACUGUUGGUCUUGAGUAUCGGAGAGGCAGGCGGAAUUCCUAGUGUAGCGGUGAAAUGCGUAGAUAUUAGGAGGAACACCAGUCGCGAAGGCGGCCUGCUGGACGACAACUGACGGUGAGGCGCGAAAGCGUGGGGAGCAAACAGGAUUAGAUACCCGUGUAGUC